GGAAAAUCUACAGGCUAUAGCAGGCUGUCCAAUCUUUUGUCUUCCCUGGGCCACGCUGGAAGAAGAAUUGUCUUGGGCCACACAUAAAAUACACUAAUGAUAGCUGCUGAGCAAAAAAAAAAAAAAAA